GAUGAACGCUGGCGGCGUGCCUAAUACAUGCAAGUCGAGCGAACAGACGAGGAGCUUGCUCCUCUGACGUUAGCGGCGGACGGGUGAGUAACACGUGGAUAACCUACCUAUAAGACUGGGAUAACUUCGGGAAACCGGAGCUAAUACCGGAUAACAUGUUGAACCGCAUGGUUCAACAGUGAAAGACGGUCUUGCUGUCACUUAUAGAUGGAUCCGCGCCGCAUUAGCUAGUUGGUAAGGUAACGGCUUACCAAGGCAACGAUGCGUAGCCGACCUGAGAGGGUGAUCGGCCACACUGGAACUGAGACACGGUCCAGACUCCUACGGGAGGCAGCAGUAGGGAAUAUUCCGCAAUGGGCGAAAGCCUGACGGAGCAACGCCGCGUGAGUGAAGAAGGUCUUCGGAUCGUAAAACUCUGUUAUUAGGGAAGAACAAAUGUGUAAGUAACUAUGCACGUCUUGACGGUACCUAAACAGAAAGCCACGGCUAACUACGUG
rnacentral:rRNA from 1 species